rnacentral:rRNA from 1 species
UCCAGACUCCUACGGGAGGCAGCAGUGAGGAAUAUUGGUCAAUGGCCGGAAGGCUGAACCAGCCAAGCCGCGUGAAGGACGAAGGUGCCAAGCAUUGUAAACUUCUUUUGUCAAGGGACAAAAUCAGGCUCGAGAGCCUGACCGAGGGCACUUGAAGAAAAAGCAUCGGCUAACUACGUGCCAGCAGCCGCGGUAAUACGUAGGGUGCGAGCGUUAAUCGGAAUUACUGGGCGUAAAGGGUGUGCAGGCGGCUGAGUAAGACAGAUGUGAAAUCCCCGGGCUUAACCUGGGAACCGCAUAUGUGACUGCUUGGCUAGAGUGCGUCAGAGGGAGGUGGAAUUCCACGUGUAGCAGUGAAAUGCGUAGAUAUGUGGAAGAACACCGAUGGCGAAGGCAGCCUCCUGGGACGCAGCUGACGCUCAUACACGAAAGCGUGGGGAGCAAACAGGAUUAGAUACCCGAGUAGAA